UUACGGCCACAUCACGUUGAAACAUUGGUUCCCGUACGAUCAGCGAUGUUAAGCAACGUCGAACCAGGUCAGUAAUUUGAUGAGUGACCGAUUGGGAAUACCAGGCGCUGUAAU